AGAGUUUGAUCCUGGCUCGGGAUGAACGCUGGCGGUGUGCUUAAUACAUGCAAGUCGAACGAGGCCCUUCUAGUCUUCGGACAGGAAGGUGUCCUAGUGGCGAACGGGUGAGUAACGCGUUGGUGACCUGCCCCGAAGUGGAGGACAACAGUUCGAAAGGACUGCUAAUACUCCAUGUGAUGAGAGAGAUUAGAAGCUUUUUCAUUAAAGGAUUUAUUCGCUUCGGGAGGGGCCUGCGUCCCAUCAGCUAGUUGGUAAGGUAACGGCUUACCAAGGCAAUGACGGGUAGGGGACCUGAGAGGGUGGCCCCCCACAAUGGAACUGAAACACGGUCCAUACACCUACGGGUGGCAGCAGUAGGGAAUAUUGGUAAUGGGCGAAAGCCUGAACCAGCAACACCGCGUGUGCGAUGAAGGCCUUCGGGUCGUAAAGCACUUUUUGAGGGGAUGACAAUGACAGUACCCUUAGAAUAAGUCUCGGCUAACUACGUGCCAGCAGCCGCGGAAAAACGUAGGAGGCAAGCGUUAUUCGGAUUUACUGGGCGUAAAGCGCGUGCAGGCGGAUUGUUAAGUUGGAUGUGAAAGCUCCUGGCUCAACUGGGAGAGGUCGUUCAAUACUGGCAGUCUAGAGUGUGAGAGAGGGAGGUGGAAUUCCAGGUGUAGUGGUGGAAUGCGUAGAUAUCUGGAGGAACACCAGUGGCGAAGGCGGCCUCCUGGCUCACAACUGACGCUAAGGCGCGAAAGCUAGGGUAGCAAACGGGAUUAGAGACCCCGGUAGUCCUAGCUGUAAACGAUGUAGACUUGGCGUUGGUGGUGUAAAAACCAUCAGUGCCGAAGCAAACGCGAUAAGUCUACCGUCUGGGGACUACGGUCGCAAGAUUAAAACUCAAAGGAAUUGACGGGGACCCGCACAAGCAGCGGAGCGUGUGGUUUAAUUCGAUAUACGCGAAGAACCUUACCAGGGCUUGACAUGUAGGUGGUAGUGAAGCGAAAGCGGAACGACCCCUCGGGGAGCCUACACAGGUGCUGCAUGGCUGUCGUCAGCUCGUGUCGUGAGAUGUUCGGUUAAGUCCGCUAACGAGCGCAACCCUCGUCGUGUGUUACAAGUGUCACGCGAGACCGCCGGUCAUAAACCGGAGGGAGGUGAGGAUGACGUCAAGUCAGCAUGGCCUUUAUGUCCUGGGCUACACACACGCUACAAUGGCAGGUACAACAGGUCGCGAAACUGCGAAGUGGAGCCAAUCCCCAAAGCCUGUCUCAGUUCAGAUUGUAGGCUGCAACUCGCCUGCAUGAAGAUGGAGUUGCUAGUAACCGCAGGUCAGCAACACUGCGGUGAAUACGUUCCCGGGUCUUGUACACACCGCCCGUCACGUCAUGGGAGCUGGCAACACCUAAAGUCGGUAUUCUAACCCGCAAGGGAGGGAGCUGCCAAAGGUGGGGUCGGUGACUGGGACGAAGUCGGAACAAGGUA
rnacentral:rRNA from 1 species